rnacentral:rRNA from 1 species
GCGUAGGGUACGUCGGCGGAUAGUUAAAAAUACAGUUAAAGACUGAGGAAAACCCUCUUAAUUCUGUAUUGACUGAUUAUCUGAGUUCUCGAGGCGGUUUAUUGAAUUCUUGAAGCAAGGGUGAAAUUGUUGAUAUUGGAAGACAUUCGAAAGCGAAAGCAUUAACCGAUCUAGAUCUAACGCUAGGUACUAAAGUAUGGGUAUAAAGAGGAUUAGAGACCUCGUAGUCCAUACCUUAAACAAUGAGUGUUCAACAUCUUUCGGCUGCAACUUAUGAGUCACCAAGCUAAAUUAAAAAACCGCACGCGUUACAGCAAUCGGUUGUUAGUCACUUUCUUGAUAAAUUUUUUAUACAACAAUUAUAUUGUAUAUAACAAGAAGAUAUUGGUUAAUAAUAUUACCUUAAGGUAAUGGCUCAAUUUAGGUUUAAAGCAGUUGUCUGAGGUUUAAAGUUAACGCGUGAAACACCGCCUGGGGAAUGUGGCCGCAAGGUUAAACUCAAAGGAAUUGACGGAGGCUUAUACAAGG